UCUUUUGAAGAAAUUGUGGAGAAUAAUCGGUUGAUUGGGGAGGGGAUGGUGGCACCGUGGAAAAAUGACUUAAAAGUGUGAAUGGCGCCGCCAACUACAUCCAAUUAUUUCCAAAUCAACGGCUUACGGAUUGAGUUAUGG
ensembl:ncRNA F15A8.12 ncRNA